AGGAUGAACGCUGGCGGCGUGCCUAACACAUGCAAGUCGAACGUUCUGUCUCGCAAGAGGCAGGGAGUGGCGGACGGGUGAGUACCACGUGGGUUAUCUACCGUGAGGUGAGGAAUACCGGCGAGAAAUCGCCGACAAGACCGCAUAGCCUCGGUGCAAGCCGAGGAAAGCUUUCUCGAGAGAGGGAGCGCCACACGAGGAGCCUGCGCCCGAUUAGCUAGCUGGUGGAGUAACGGUUCACCAGGGCGACGAUCGGUAGCUGGUCUGAGAGGACGAUCAGCCACACUGGGAUUGAGAACGGCCCAGACUCCUACGGGGGGCAGCAGUGAGGAAUUUUCGUCAAUGGGGGCAACCCUGAACGAGCAACGCCGCGUGCAGGAAGAAGGUUUUCGGAUCGUAAACUGCUUUUCUCGGGGAAGAGAACGGACGGUACCCGAGGAAUCAGCCCCGGCUAACUACGUGCCAGCAGCCGCGGUAA
rnacentral:rRNA from 1 species